rnacentral:rRNA from 1 species
GACGCGCUUCGGCGCACCCAGAAACCCUUUGUGAACUUAUACCUUACUGUUGCCUCGGCGCAGGCCGGCCUCCUGUGAGGCCCCUCGGAAACGAGGAGCAGCCCGCCGGCGGCCAACUAAACUCUUGUUUCUUAGUGAAUCUCUGAGUAAAAAACAUAAAUGAAUCAAAACUUUCAACAACGGAUCUCUUGGUUCUGGCAUCGAUGAAGAACGCAGCGAAAUGCGAUAAGUAAUGUGAAUUGCAGAAUUCAGUGAAUCAUCGAAUCUUUGAACGCACAUUGCGCCCUCUGGUAUUCCGGAGGGCAUGCCUGUUCGAGCGUCAUUUCAACCCUCAAGCACUGCUUGGGUGUUGGGGCACCGCCUGUGAAAGGGCGGGCCCUGAAAUCUAGUGGCGAGCUCGCCAGGACCCCGAGCGUAGUAGUUAUAUCUCGUUCUGGAAGGCCCUGGCGGUGCCCUGCCGUUAAACCCCCAACUUCUGAAAUUUUGACCUCGGAUCAGGUAGGAAUACCCGCUGAACUUAAGCAUAUC